UGCAGUCGAGCGAACAGAUGAGAAGCUUGCUUCUCUGAUGUUAGCGGGGGACGGGUGAGUAACACGUGGGUAACCUACCUAUAAGACUGGGAUAACUCCGGGAAACCGGGGCUAAUACCGGAUAAUAUUUUGAACCGCAUGGUUCGAUAGUGAAAGACGGUUUCGGCUGUCACUUAUAGAUGGACCCGCGCCGUAUUAGCUAGUUGGUAAGGUAACGGCUUACCAAGGCGACGAUACGUAGCCGACCUGAGAGGGUGAUCGGCCACACUGGAACUGAGACACGGUCCAGACUCCUACGGGAGGCAGCAGUAGGGAAUCUUCCGCAAUGGGCGAAAGCCUGACGGAGCAACGCCGCGUGAGUGAUGAAGGUCUUCGGAUCGUAAAACUCUGUUGUUAGGGAAGAACAAAUUUGUUAGUAACUGAACAAGUCUUGACGGUACCUAACCAGAAAGCCACGGCUAACUACGUGCCAGCAGCCGCGGUAAUACGUAGGUGGCAAGCGUUAUCCGGAAUUAUUGGGCGUAAAGCGCGCGUAGGCGGUUUCUUAAGUCUGAUGUGAAAGCCCACGGCUCAACCGUGGAGGGUCAUUGGAAACUGGGAAACUUGAGUGCAGAAGAGGAGAGUGGAAUUCCAUGUGUAGCGGUGAAAUGCGCAGAGAUAUGGAGGAACACCAGUGGCGAAGGCGGCUCUCUGGUGCUGUAACUGACGCUGAUGUGCGAAAGCG
rnacentral:rRNA from 1 species